UUUUGGACAAUGGGCGCAAGCCUGAUCCAGCAAUGCCGCGUGAGUGAAGAAGGCCUUCGGGUUGUAAAGCUCUUUUGUCAGGGAAGAAACGGUGAGCUCUAAUACAGUUUGCUAAUGACGGUACCUGAAGAAUGAGCACCGGCUAACUACGUGCCAGCAGCCGCGGUAAUACGUAGGGUGCAAGCGUUAAUCGGAAUUACUGGGCGUAAAGCGUGCGCAGGCGGUUAUGUAAGUCAGAUGUGAAAUCCCCGGGCUCAACCUGGGAAUAGCAUUUGAGACUGCAUGGCUAGAGUGUGUCAGAGGGGGGUAGAAUUCCACGUGUAGCAGUGAAAUGCGUAGAGAUGUGGAGGAAUACCGAUGGCGAAGGCAGCCCCCUGGGAUAACACUACGCUCAUCACGGAG
rnacentral:rRNA from 1 species